CUGGUCUCCGGCUAGGGAAGUCCCUAGGCGGCCAAUCUCCUGGCGCCUGGAGAAAACCAAAAAAGAAAAAAAAAAAAGAUAAAAGUAUAGAACAUCUCCCUCUCUAUUAUUAAUUAUUAUUAUUUAUCUUGCGUGUAAUCCAUUCCUCCCUAGUGCCUCCUCCCUUUCCUGCUUCUCCUCCUGUUGUAACAUGCAAUUAGCGAUCCUGCAGCCACAUUUCCAGGGGUGCUAAAGUUCAUUUCGCUUAUAGCCACCAUGGGGAAUGGGAUGAACAAGAUCCUUCCUGGCCUCUACAUUGGCAACUUUAAAGAUGCAAGAGACGCAGAGCAGCUGAGCAAGAAUAAGGUUACGCAUAUUCUCUCCAUCCAUGAUAGUGCCAGGCCUAUGCUUGA